rnacentral:lncRNA from 1 species
UGUCAUACCCCAAAAUUCACCCUACUCCGAUACAACUUUCAUUUAAUCCAUGGCCCUACUGCACAUGCAUGCUUUCAUUAUUUCAUCAUCAUAAUUUCAUUGAACAUUCAUAAACAAAGACAUAUUGCAUGGGCUCAAGGCAUGGAUUUAAAAAAAAAGUUUAGGUAAAUCGAUUUACCCAAUUAGGUAAAUCGAUUUACCCUGCGCAAACACCAAAAAUAAGCCUUUUCUUUGCACAAAGGGUAUUUGGUUCCCCCCACUUUCCC